GUGAGGAAUUUUCCGCAAUGGGCGAAAGCCUGACGGAGCAAUGCCGCGUGAAGGAUGAAGGCCUAUGGGUUGUAAACUUCUUUUCUCAGAAAAGAAUUAUGACGGUAUCUGAGGAAUAAGCAUCGGCUAACUCUGUGCCAGCAGCCGCGGUAAGACAGAGGAUGCAAGCGUUAUCCGGAAUGAUUGGGCGUAAAGCGUCUGUAGGUUGUUUAAAAAGUAUUCUGUCAAAGAUUAGGGCUUAACCCUAAAUAGGCAGAAUAAACUUUUAAGCUAGAGUUUGGUAGAGGCAGAGGGAAUUCCCGGUGGAGCGGUGAAAUGCGUAGAUAUCGGGAGGAACACCAAAGGCGAAGGCACUCUGCUGGGCCAAUACUAACACUGAGAGACGAAAGCGAGGGGAGCAAAUGGGAUUAGAAACCCCUGUAGUCC
rnacentral:rRNA from 1 species